GUCUGGGCCAAAAUCUAUGUUAUCCUUGACAUGGUCGCUGGUGGAGAGGGGCGAUGACAACUGAGAAGAUUCUGGGAACAACACAAAAUACUCUGCAAAAGACAGCCAAGAGCUCUGCCUGUCUACUCCCAGGCUGAAACAAGGAGCUGUAUUUUAAAGUAUUUUACAGUAAAAGAGCUGCCACAAAUCAUUACUGACAUGGCCUAAUUGCAACACUGAACAGUCGAUGGAAAACUCAGCCAUUUCCUCUUGUUCUCCAGACUACUGAAGGUUGAAGCUUGGAUAAACAGAGCACGGGAAGCUGAUGAGAGUUUAAAAAAAAUACAGGGAUUCACACACUUCCACCCCUUGGCAUCCCUAAUCUUUUCCAUGAGUCAGUCAGUAUUGAGCUCAUGUUGUUCACAGUGGAGUACUUGAUCCGCAGUCCACACCAAAGCUUCCCAGCAGCAGAGUUCCCAUGAACAACCUCUCUGGGAGAAACGGCCGAGUUGGCAAGCAGACGUCGACCACUAGAGAAGGCCGUUUACGCUCUGUGACAAAUCACAUGACUCGUGGUGUAAAGGGAGUAUACCGACAUGAGUUAAAACAAUGCAUCUGCUUCUAUUGAUGCGUUUGGGUUUGAGUCUGCCAUGUGAAAACUGCUUCCUCUUUCCAUGGCUUCCUCCCACCCAAUGUUCCUCUCGAAUAAAGCUGCAAACACGGCCAAGUAGAAAGCAGUCAGAGGAACAGAACAUCCCAAGUUUAAAGCCUGUAUUUAUACACUCAGAUACCAUUCAAAAGAAUAACUGCGUCACUUUUGCAUGACCAGAGUUACAAUGCAUGUCAAGCAUUGCGGUAAAGGUGCAAACACACUCACGACGUAUCUAUAGCCAGAGCACACUCUUGAAUUAAGGACAAGGUUGACCUCUGCAGCGGCUUUGAUUGACCACUUCAGAUACAGGCUCCACAGGCAGGAAUUAUCUACAGCUGAUACCACACAGACCGCACGUUUUGUGGUGGACCAAGAGCUGCCCAUGUGAAAACAAGCUGCGCAAAGGAAUGCAAAUGACCUGGUUAUCUUGGAAGAGCUGAAUGCCUGGUUCUGUGCAAAGCAGUGCAAGGCGUUUCCAGCCUGCUUGUUGUUUUGAAAAAAAAAAAAGGAAGAAAGAAAAAAAAAAGAUGAGGUCAUUUACAAAGCCCUCUCCAUCCCCUGUG